ACGGCGCCAGCCUUCCCAUCCCCGAGCGCCAGUUUCUCCAGCCAUCUCCACCGUACGAGUGACAGCCUUCUUUCGCCGUCGGCAAAGUCUCCACAAGCAGAUCAGCGACAAACCAGCGGCGUGUUCCUCUCCACGAACCAGAUUCGCACGACGCCACAGCUCCAAAUAGCACAACCAGAUCGCUAUACCCAGCGCCAUUCUCCAUCUCCAGGUCGCGUCAACAGACCCCUGCGAGCUCUCCUCCACGCCUACCAGCGCCGUUCCUUCACCUGACCGGCGGCAGAAGCAUCGGCCCUU
rnacentral:lncRNA from 1 species